AUAAAACUAUUUUGCUUUGUCUGGAUCAUAGCAUAUCAAACAUAUAUCAUGCAAAAAAUAUUUUUAUCAUGUAGGAUUGGCGUACAAGGAUUCUUACCCUUUAUUGAAAACUCAGACAACUAAUUACCCGCUCUCACGCGAUCUAUAAACCGGAACGCGCAGGACUCCGCUCAGCGUUCCUCCCGUCCAAUAGAUUGUUCCCCUACAGAGUCAAAUCAUCAUUAAAAUUUACUCAAGACAUAUGAUAAUCCAGGACCCCUGUUUAAUCCUCUAAAGGGUCCUCUAAAAUCUAGCAUUUCCAAGACUAUGUAGAGCCCUCAAAACAAUGAACUCUCCGGAUCUAAGUUUAGAGGGAGAGAGAGCCCCAUCUAGAGAUAAACUAGAGAGAGAAGAGGAAAGUAAAGACGAGUAGGUCUCCCUCUCUCUUUCCCUCUCCUUUCUAUUCUCCUCGUGGGCAUGCUCGGUGGCAGUGGCCACCUGUGGCCGGCGACCCCAGCGGUCGACGGCCCC
rnacentral:lncRNA from 1 species